rnacentral:rRNA from 1 species
CCUACGGGAGGCAGCAGUGGGGAAUAUUGGACAAUGGGCGCAAGCCUGACCCAGCGACGCCGCGUGAAGGAAGAAGUAUCUCGGGUUGUAAACCUCUUUUAGCAGGGAAGAAGAGAUGACGGUACCUGACGAAUAAGCCCCGGCUAACUACGUGCCAGCAGCCGCGGUAAUACGUAGGGGGCAAGCGUUAUCCGGAAUUACUGGGUGUAAAGGGCGUAUAGACGGGGUGGUAAGUCUGAGGUGAAAGCCGGGGGCCCAACCCCCGGACUGCUUUGGAAACUAUGUGACUGGAGUGUCGGAGAGGUGGGCGGAAUUCCUAGUGUAGCGGUGAAAUGCGUAGAGAUUAGGAGGAACACCAGUGGCGAAGGCGGCCUGCUGGACGGCAACUGACGUUGAGGCGCGAAAGCGUGGGGAGCAAACAGGAUUAGAUACCCUAGUAGUC